UGCUGGUGUCUGGACCUUAUCUCAGAUGUAUGAAGAAUCCCUGAAGAGCUGGAGGACUGGGCACCAGGCCCCCUUGGAAUCCCCAAAAUGAUUCCAAGGUACUGGAGGCCUGAUGACCAUCAAGGUCCUCAUGACAUGAGCUCUCACAUUCUAAUUUCCUGAAAAACCCUCUUCUAGCCCUUCCACAGACAUGUGCAAAAUGGAUGAAUGAAGGAGAAGAGUGGAGAGGGAGGGUGGGAGGAGCCCUCAGCUCUUUUGAGUAAGG
rnacentral:lncRNA from 1 species